AGCAGCCGCGGUAAUUCCAGCUCCAAUAGCGUAUAUUAAAGUUGUUGCAGUUAAAAAGCUCGUAGUUGAAUUUCGGAAUCUGUCCGUCGGUCGGGCUUCACUGUCCGUACUGGUGUGGUGGGUUCUUACCUUCUGAAUAACCAGCAUGCCAUUCACUUGGUGCGCUGGGGAAGCAGGACUAUUACCUUGAAAAAUUAGAGUGCUCAAAGCAGGCUAGUGCCUGAAUACAUUAGCAUGGAAUAAUAAAAUAGGACGGCAUGGUUCUAUUUUGUUGGUUUCUAGGAUCACCGUAAUGAUUAAUAGGGAUAGUUGGGGGCAUUAGUAUUCAAUUGUCAGAGGUGAAAUUCUUGGAUUUAUUGAAGACUAACUUCUGCGAAAGCAUUUGCCAAGGAUGUUUUCAUUAAUCAAGAACGAAAGUUAGGGGAUCGAAGACGAUCAGAUACCGUCGUAGUCUUAACCAUAAACUAUGCCGACUAGGG
rnacentral:sRNA from 1 species